rnacentral:rRNA from 1 species
AGUGGGGAAUAUUGGACAAUGGGCGCAAGCCUGAUCCAGCAAUGCCGCGUGUGUGAAGAAGGCCUUCGGGUUGUAAAGCACUUUUGUUCGGGAAGAAAUCCGUGUGGUUAAUACCCGUACGGGAUGACGGUACCGAAAGAAUAAGCACCGGCUAACUUCGUGCCAGCAGCCGCGGUAAUACGAAGGGUGCAAGCGUUAAUCGGAAUUACUGGGCGUAAAGCGUGCGUAGGCGGUUUGUUAAGUCAGAUGUGAAAGCCCCGGGCUCAACCUGGGAACUGCAUUUGAUACUGGCAGGCUAGAGUACGGUAGAGGGUGGUGGAAUUCCCGGUGUAGCGGUGAAAUGCGUAGAGAUCGGGAGGAACAUCCGUGGCGAAGGCGGCCACCUGGACCAGUACUGACGCUGAGGCACGAAAGCGUGGGGAGCAAA